rnacentral:rRNA from 1 species
CCUACGGGGGGCAGCAGUGGGGAAUAUUGGACAAUGGGGGGAACCCUGAUCCAGCCAUGCCGCGUGUGUGAAGAAGGCCUUUUGGUUGUAAAGCACUUUAAGUGGGGAGGAGGCUUACCUGGUUAAUACCUGGGCUAAGUGGACGUUACCCACAGAAUAAGCACCGGCUAACUCUGUGCCAGCAGCCGCGGUAAUACAGAGGGUGCGAGCGUUAAUCGGAUUUACUGGGCGUAAAGCGCGCGUAGGUGGUUAAUUAAGUCAAAUGUGAAAUCCCCGA